CAUGAAAAACACCAGGGAAUCUGUAUUUAAGUGACCUUAAUAUUAUGCGUAAACCUAAGUGUGCAUUUGUAGGCGGUGUCGAAAUGGGUCUAUAGCUCUGCCUGAACUGUCGUCCAAUUGGUUUACAAGUCCGGCUGAAGUGACAGGCCAUCAAAAACUGUACAGCGUGACUGAUUCGGAGACGGCUCUCAACACUCGCCCAGUCGUGUCGAGAGGAUCGGUGUCUUUGCAGAUUACACGGAAUUGAGCACCCGGGCCAGACUGACACUUUCCGGAGCCUGCCCGAGACGGAACUCGAGCCGAGGAAUCAUAGGUCCAGGCGGUGUCGAAAUGGGUCUAUAGCUCUGCCUGAACUGUCGUCCAAUUGGUUUACAAGUCCGGCUGAAGUGACAGGCCAUCAAAAACUGUACAGCGUGACUGAUUCGGAGACGGCCCUCAACACUCGCCCAGUCGUGUCGAGAGGAUCGGUGUCUUUGCAGAUUACACGGAAUUGAGCACCCGGGCCAGACUGACACUUUCCGGAGCCUGCCCGAGACGGAACUCGAGCCGAGGAAUCAUAGGUCCAGGUGUGACAAAAGACUUAAAGCUCAUGUCUGACGAUGACUUUGUUUAGUCAG